GACGAACGCUGGCGGCGUGCUUAGCACAUGCAAGUCGAGCGGUAAGGCCCUUUUGGGGGUACACGAGCGGCGAACGGGUGAGUAACACGUGGGUGACCCUGCCCUCAGCUCUGGGAUAAGCCUGGGAAACUGGGUCUAAUACUGGAUAUGACCUUUCCUCGCAUGGGGUUGGGUGGAAAGUUUUUUCGGCUGGGGAUGGGCCCGCGGCCUACCAGCUUGUUGGUGGGGUGAUGGCCUACCAAGGCGACGACGGGUAG
rnacentral:rRNA from 1 species